UACGUAGGUGGCAAGCGUUGUUCGGAAUCACUGGGCAUAAAGAGUUCGUAGGCGGCUUGGUAAGUCAGGUGUGAAAUACCUCGGCUCAACCGAGGAACUGCACUUGAAACUGCCGCGCUUGAGGGCAACAAGGGAGAGCGGAAUUCUGGGUGUAGCGGUGAAAUGCGUUGAUAUCCAGGAGAACACCGGAGGCGAAGGCGGCUCUCUGGGUUGUCCCCGACGCUGAGGAACGAAAGCCAGGGGAG
rnacentral:rRNA from 1 species